rnacentral:lncRNA from 1 species
AACAUUGAAAAGGACAAUAUGUAUUAAAUUGGCAUCAGUAUAUUUAAGACAUUACCGAGAACCUCCUGAAUCACAUCCCUGUUCAGCUGGAACCCUUCUCCUAACAAUUUAAAUAGAAAAUCUUCCGUAUCCUUCUGCAAAUGUCAUUCUUUGAUUGUUUUGGUUUAGUUUCUUCUCUGCACAGUGCAGACAUGGGAAAACUCCUUUAGAUCCAACUUCAAUGGCUUUGAUGCCAGAAAAGUGCCAUUAGCUGGUUGCGCAGGUUUAAUAUAUUCUUUACCAAGAAAACUUGAAACGGUACCUCCUGAUACCGGACGCCAUUUUGUCCUAGUAGGUCUAGAUUUUCCAUUUUUCUAAAACGAAUUCUCGGAUAUGUUACUAUUUGAUGAUUUUGAAGACUUUUUACCCCUUGCCUCACCAGCAGAAAGAUGGAUAGAAGCGGUUUAGGUGUUUGCCUGUCUGUCACAGAGAAAUUCACCAGCCAAAUCGGGAUUUCCGAUAAGCGAGGCUAUUUAUUGCAGAGUAAACACAGACCAAAUGUGUCAAGUAAAACCUUUAGUGCCUUUCCUCAAUGUCAUAAUUUAAUCCAUUAGACCCAGAUACUUCCUUUCCAAAUAAACUUCACAGAUUAAUACAAAAAGAAAAAAUCAGCACAUGCUUCUGGAUUUGAAUUUGACAUAAAUAAUUGGGGAAAAGAGAAAAUUAAAGUGUGGAUCACAAAUUGAAUCACUGUAACACAUAAUCUACCCAAUUAAUGCCAAUAACUUAUAGCACAGAAACUCCUUCACAAUGCUUUUGUUCUAACACAAAUUUUCUGUACAAUCACCCAGCAUUCAUGGUGUGUAGCUAUUUAAAACUUUAUAUAUGUAUAAUAAAUGAGUCAAAUAAAUAUAAAUAUUUAAAAUAAUAUAUAUUUUAUAAUAUUUUUUUAAUCUGCUGUACGGCCAAGGCGGAUGUACGGUACAGCAGAUCAGUAUAUUUAAGACAUUACCGAGAACCUCCUGAAUCACAUCCCUGUUCAGCUGGAACCCUUCUCCUAACAAUUUAAAUAGAAAAUCUUCCGUAUCCUUCUGCAAAUGUCAUUCUUUGAUUGUUUUGGUUUAGUUUCUUCUCUGCACAGUGCAGACAUGGGAAAACUCCUUUAGAUCCAACUUCAAUGGCUUUGAUGCCAGAAAAGUGCCAUUAGCUGGUUGCGCAGGUUUAAUAUAUUCUUUACCAAGAAAACUUGAAACGGUACCUCCUGAUACCGGACGCCAUUUUGUCCUAGUAGGUCUAGAUUUUCCAUUUUUCUAAAACGAAUUCUCGGAUAUGUUACUAUUUGAUGAUUUUGAAGACUUUUUACCCCUUGCCUCACCAGCAGAAAGAUGGAUAGAAGCGGUUUAGGUGUUUGCCUGUCUGUCACAGAGAAA